rnacentral:rRNA from 1 species
UGGGGAAUAUUGCACAAUGGGCGCAAGCCUGAUGCAGCCAUGCCGCGUGUGUGAAGAAGGCCUUCGGGUUGUAAAGCACUUUCAGCGGGGAGGAAGGCGUUAAGGUUAAUAACCUUGGCGAUUGACGUUACCCGCAGAAGAAGCACCGGCUAACUCCGUGCCAGCAGCCGCGGUAAUACGGAGGGUGCAAGCGUUAAUCGGAAUUACUGGGCGUAAAGCGCACGCAGGCGGUUUGUUAAGUCAGAUGUGAAAUCCCCGGGCUCAACCUGGGAACUGCAUCUGAUACUGGCAAGCUUGAGGCUCGUAGAGGGGGGUAGAAUUCCAGGUGUAGCGGUGAAAUGCGUAGAGAUCUGGCGGAAUACCGGUGGCGAAGGCGGCCCCCUGGACGAAGACUGACGCUCAGGUGCGAAAGCGUGGGGAGCAAACAGG